CUUUCCUCCUUCCCUCUUGUCUCCCCUCCUCCUUUCUUCUGAAUGCAAACUAAAACUCUCCAGUGACAGGCAGGCUUGCAGGCUUGGCCUAGCUGCGCACGCAGACACACACACACACACACACACACACACACACACACACACACACACACUCACGCGCACUCACACUCACACUCGCUUACUCGCACGCCAGCAGCUCGGCUAGUUGCUACUGCACUGGUGGAGUUAAGAGACAGGAAAAGGCUCAGGCUGAGUUGGGGGCAGGGAGAGAAAGAGGGAGAGUAAGAUCCGAAGGAGCAGUGUCCUAGCAAAAUGGCAGUAGAGAGGUGAGCCCUUUGGAAAGCCAGCAGUGGCCACACACACGUGUGCACACAUACAGACUCAGAGGCAAUCUGAGCUCAGAAUGAGUGGAAUAAAUGACCCAGAAGGGAAAAAAGCCAAGGAUCUAGUCGUCGUUCACCAUGUUACAGAGCAUAAAUCCAAGCCACUGAUUUAAAAAAAGAAAAAGAAAGAAAGAAACGUGGACAUUUGGGAGUCAACCUAACUGGAAAAAAAUGGAAGUCCAGACACUGAACCAUGAAGACGAGGAGUGCAUGAGAUGGCAGAGGAAGGCACAAACUGUGAGCAGGGGACCCACAGAGGACGCAAGAAUCUUGAAGCUUUGUAGACAGCACGGACCCAGGACAGCUGGUGGAGAGUGGGAAGGGGAUUACAACAACUCGGAGCUCUUGCAAGCCUUGCUGUCUCACAGAGCUAGGCCUCCAUGGCUGUCCUGGUGAACCACGGCUCAGCCUGAGCUCUGUUUUUGCGUGAAGGUCACUUGGACCCCUUCUCCAGAAUCUUCUUCUCCAAGGUGGAAGUUGUGUGGACACAAAUGACUACUCUCCUGACAGGCACACAAAUGGUCCCUGACACCCAAUAAAGACAGUGACAGCAAGGAAGAGGAGGAGGAAGAAGAGGGGAAGGAAGAAG
rnacentral:sRNA from 1 species